rnacentral:rRNA from 1 species
UGGGGAAUAUUGGACAAUGGGCGGAAGCCUGAUCCAGCAACGCCGCGUGAGGGAUGACGGCCUUCGGGUUGUAAACCUCUUUCAGCACAGACGAAGUUGCCCUUUUGGGGUGGUGACGGUAUGUGCAGAAGAAGCACCGGCCAACUACGUGCCAGCAGCCGCGGUAAUACGUAGGGUGCGAGCGUUGUCCGGAAUUAUUGGGCGUAAAGGGCUCGUAGGCGGUUUGUCGCGUCGGGAGUGAAAUCCACUGGCUUAACUGGUGGCUUGCUUUCGAUACGGGCAGACUGGAGGUAUGCAGGGGAGAACGGAAUUCCUGGUGUAGCGGUGAAAUGCGCAGAUAUCAGGAGGAACACCGGUGGCGAAGGCGGUUCUCUGGGCAUGUCCUGACGCUGAGGAGCGAAAGUGUGGGGAGCGAACA